rnacentral:rRNA from 1 species
GAUGAACGCUGGCGGCGUGCCUAAUACAUGCAAGUCGAACGCGAGAGGAGGGAGCUUGCUCCCUCUGAUCGAGUGGCGGACGGGUGAGUAACACGUAGGCAACCUGCCCAUCAGUCCGGGAUAACCGCGGGAAACCGUGGCUAAUACCGGAUGAUCCUCUCCACCGCGGGGUGGGGAGUUGAAAGACGGCUUCGGCUGUCGCUGAUGGAUGGGCCUGCGGCGCAUUAGCUGGUUGGCGGGGUAACGGCCCACCAAGGCAACGAUGCGUAGCCGACCGGAGCGGGUGAUCGGCCACACUGGGACUGAGACACGGCCCAGACUCCUACGGGAGGCAGCAGUAGGGAAUCUUCCGCAAUGGACGCAAGUCUGACGGAGCAACGCCGCGUGAGUGAAGAAGGGUUUCGGCUCGUAAAACUCUGUUGUUAAGGAAGAACGACAGGUAGAGUAACUGCUACCUGUGUGACGGUACUUAACCAGAAAGCCACGGCUAACUACGUGCCAGCAGCCGCCGUAA